CGUGAACGCCCUCUUUCUCGACCUGGGUCCUUAUGGGCGCGGGGCGACCCGCGUCUUCAUAAGCCCCUUCGUGUAGAAAGUCUAUGAAUGUUUUUANNAUCAUCGACUCGCGACUUCUAGGAGACGCGAUUCUUUGAGACAAAAGUUAUUACAACUUUCAGCAAUGGAUCUCUUGGCUCUCGCAUCGAUGAAGAACGCAGCGAAUCGCGAUAUGUAAUGUGAAUUGCAGAUCUACAGUGAAUCAUCGAAUCUUUGAACGCACCUUGCGCUUAUCGGUGUUCCGAUGAGCAUGCCUGUUUGAGCGUCAUUAAAUUCUCAACCCCUCUCGAUUUGCUUCGAGAGGGAGCUUGGAUNGUGGAGGCUGCCGGAGANCUGUUUUUUCAGGACUCGGGCUCCUCUGAAAUGUAUUGGCUUGCGGUCGACUUUCGACUGUGCAUGACAAGGCCUUUGGCGUGAUAAUGAUCGCCGCUCGCCGAAGUGCACGAACGAAUGGUCUCGUGCCUCUAAUCAGUCGAUGUCUUUUCGAAGGCGUCUUCCUUAUUGACGUUUGACCUCAAAUCAGGUAGGACUACCCGCUGAACUUAAGCAUAUCAAUA
rnacentral:rRNA from 1 species